UUCCGAUCGGACUCGGAGGUCC
rnacentral:miRNA from 1 species